rnacentral:rRNA from 1 species
UACGUAGGGAGCGAGCGUUGUCCGGAUUUACUGGGUGUAAAGGGUGCGUAGGCGGGACUGCAAGUCAGACGUGAAAUACCGAGGCUUAACUUCGGGGCUGCGUUUGAAACUGUGGUUCUUGAGUGAAGUAGAGGCAGGCGGAAUUCCUAGUGUAGCGGUGAAAUGCGUAGAUAUUAGGAGGAACACCAGUGGCGAAGGCGGCCUGCUGGGCUUUAACUGACGCUGAAGCACGAAAGCAUGGGGAGCAAACAGGAUUAGAUACCCCCGGUAGUCCGGG